rnacentral:lncRNA from 1 species
AUCGUGAGUCUCAACGACGUGGUCUGGGAACCUCGUUGAUUUUCAGGUGCUUUUCGCAACCCUCAUGUAAUUCCCUUCUUCGGUAGGCAGAAAACGUCCUGCAAUCUGGUGUGGCGCGUUGCUGCAGACUGUAAGGUUGAAUGGUGGAACUCCCAGCACCCAGCAUAGUGUCUGGUUCCAUCGAAGGCAGGUUGGAGUUGUUGCAGAUGUGCGAUUCUGUUUCAGGUUCGUGCUUUCAAAAUGCUCGGGCGAUCACUUAACGCCCACUGCGUAAAGCGUGUGUGUCUCUGUGCAAAUGCUCCUCCAGCUAGUAAGCAAUGAAACGCGCCAGGGCUUCACACAGAAAAACACGAUGUCGUCUCCGAUGCUUGUUUCACUUUGCGCAUGCGGCGAACGCCACAGUGCCUUGAGCAAGGGGAAGUGUUGGUACAUUCAAAAGAAGUGGUACCUGUUCUCAUUUACACGAAUGGGUGAUUCUGCAUGCAACUGCAUUGCAGUUGGUAGGUUUUGUUCUGUCUUAGGAUUGCUGCUUGUGAUACGGGAGGUAAGGGUGGCAGCGACCCGGGGGAAGUACGGCUUUGAUUUGCGCAACGACAUCAUGUUCCUCCAGAAACGCUACUUGCUUCUACACUUGCUGUCCAGAGAUGAGUCAUCUUCGUGGAUGCGUGCUCGCAUGCAGAAUUCGCUCUAGGAAUGCUUGGCGUCUUACCACAAGAGGGGGGGCGUAUCCCUGAGUUGUUCGUACGGGAAUCGAGUUUCUCCCGUGGAACGAGUUCAUUUAUGGGUGGUUGUGUCUUGUUGCUCCGUUUGUAGUUGGUAAGGUCAAGUCCUCUUACCUAUGCUGCGUCGCAUUUAUCUUUGAAGCUCGAUGCAUGGAGUGUGCUUUGGCUAGAGAAAGAAAUGUCUUACCAAUUUCUUCACGGGUAUGGUUGUCUCCCCUGCCAUUGCUUUGUUUCUUCAGGAAGUGAGCAUCGAAAUUGUCUGCCUACAGCUGCCGUACUCUCUGACGUCGCUGUGGCAGCAGGUGAAUUGUCAUGCAACCACCUGUGUGUAAAACAAAAUCCAGGAAGUACGCUUUGGCCUGUAUACCUGUGACGCCGCGGAAGCCCCACAGGGGCCUCACGAAUAAUCAGCAAAAAUAUGAUUUCUGGUAUUCACAGAACUGGGCUUCUGGCACGUUGGAUUCUUAUCUGUCUUUAAUCUCUACUGGGGGCCGCUGCUCCAAGCCCAGCGGUCCUUUCGAAGGAAUUACUAUGCGUCGCAACGUCCAAACGGUAGUAUGUAAGCCAGAAUAAGUCUAGGAAUUUGUCUUGUGGGUUUUCAUCCAUCGUUCUUCGCACAGGUCCUCUAGCGACCUUUAGUGUGUGCGACAGUGGCAGUACGGGCGAAUCGGUCUCGUCCGGCGACGACGCUAACUUUUCGGCUAAGCGUCCGCCUUCUCUGAAACACACAAUUUCCCUCUCACCGUUGGUAUAAUCUCAAAGUACCCGAAGUCAACACGUAGUCGUGCAAUUCGAGCUGGGUGUUGCUCUUGUCACCCGUGGCGAGACCGGCGACAGCUUCAAACCAAAAGGUCGCCUGUGAAUGUGUUAGGCGUCUGCGUACCGCUGAUGCCUGCACUGUGAGCCUGUUUGAACAUUCUUCUGUGCAGCCGGUACGAUAGGAAACUGCCGGUGCUGAGCGGGCCAGUUAUGCUGUCAGCGCAGCCCCUGGUAGCAGGAUCGCCUAGGAGUUCGAUGGUGUCCGUUGCGUUCAGCGUUGCGCGCGCGUGCUGCCACCAAUUUGUCGUCGGCAAUGUCAAGGGACCAACAGUGUUAUUAGUCAUUAAAGUACCAGGAGAAGUUGUGUUGUCCAUGUGCGUAUCCACGCUCUCGUCAGGUGACAGAGGUAAGCGGCAGAAUCACGAACAUUUUCUCUCGAAGAAAUUAGAGUUUAUCCGCUCGGAUGCACGCAACUUCUACACGGGCGUCAAAGAAAACUGCCAUGACCGCCAUGCAAGUACACAUCGGAAACACAAAACACAGUUUCUCUUUUGUGAAUAUGCUGCUGUGACGUCGGGAGGUAUUUUUUGUUUUUUGACGCGUUUUGUAUAGUGGACCAGAGCUGUAAACGAUAUACUGAUUAAGGAAGCGCCAGGUUGUCCACUUUAUUACGGCCGUGUUUGGCGCUACCUAACAUGCAGUUUUUUGCCUCACUUCCAGCGGUAUGAAGCCCCCAGCGGAGUCUGCACUGACCUUUCGUUCGGUAGACGUCGGCGGAGUCCUGCAAGGUGUUAGGCAUAGAACACGGAACGUGGAAGCGGACGGCUUUCCCGAAUUGUGAGUGGUUUUGCAUAGGACAGUAAAUUUCUUCACAAGCUCUGCCCCGCUGUAUGCUAGCACGGAGUCCCUCCUUCAUUCUCGUAUUCUACCCCUGCCGCCGCAAUUGCUUCUCCCAGGCG